AUCCACCUGACGAGUCUCAAAUAGGACGAAACUGGCGUCCUGGAU
rnacentral:hammerhead_ribozyme from 1 species